GUGCUGGGAGGGUAUUUGGAAUAGGGCAUGUGCUGGAAGGAUAUUUGAAACAGGGCAGGUGCUGAAAAAAUAUUUUAAAUAGGGAAUGUGCUGAAAGGAUGUUUGAAGUAGAGCAGGUACUGAAAAAUGUUUUGUUUGAAAUGGGAUAGGGCAUGUGCCUGAAGCACGUGACUUGUCUUGACAUGAUUUACUUCUGGUUUUCUCUCAUUCUCUUCUUUCUUCUUCUUCUUCAAGACCCAAACCCGUGGGUAUUGUGCAUCAGUACAUAAGUCAUAUUUUGGAAGCUCGGAUCAGAAAACUUCCUUGACGAAAGUUGCUCAUCUGCUCGAGUACUAUAGCCUGUAAAAUUUUCUGAAUUCUUUGAAUUUUUCUGAUGCCUCAAAGCUGGUCUGCAACUUCUGUGUUCAUCCAUGGCUGGUGUAUACGUCUCUGGCACAGGCAGGGGAGGGUGCCGAAAGCCUGCGUUGUAUCCAUUGUCGCUGGAAGCUUCGAGUGUACCAAUUUCGCAACUUGGCAAUUUGGAUUUCUAUCUCGAUUUCUCAGUAAAUAGUUCUGCUCCUUCACUGGAAUCUUGAGUCUUUCUUUUGGCUUUGUAGGAAUAGACAUAGACUGGUGUUUGGCCUAGGCUUGUUUUUCUUGUGAACACACGCUUGAUUAAAUCUGGACUUUUCUCCGAUCUUGUGGAAAUAGAAAUUGACAGAAUGCAUGCUCUGCAAUGCUUGAAUCUUUUUGUAUUUUGAGGGAGAAUUUGCUUGUCAUGGGAAUUGCUUGAGAAUUUUGCUUGCCAUGGAUAAAUUGCAUGCUGCUUUGAUAUUUGCUUAAGCCUUUUCUUUGGCGUGAGCUUGACUUGCAUGCUUGGCGUAUACUUUGCGUGUGCUACGUUCUUGACCACCUUCUUUGAUUGAACUGUAUGCAUCACGAGCAUAUGCUUGUAACUGCAUGAUUAAUACAUAGGGUUAGAGGCUGUUGAAAGCUGGAGGAGAGCACCAUUUGUUUCCUCUUUUGAGCUUAGAGUUUGGACAUGGCUAACUUUUUUUUCUUGGCUUUAUAGGGAUAGAUAUAAACAUGUAUAUGAUGGGUCUGCAAGAUUGUCAUGUAACUCAUAGGGAUUUUUUUGUUUUUGUGAAAAAGGUUACUAGGAGGUAAGUGGUGUUCAGUUUGUAACACUUGCUUUGUGAAAGGGUCUGCUGGAAUGAUUGAUUGAGCAUGAAAUGGGAACUUUGCUUGUCAUAAGCUCGAGUAAUAGAUUGCAUGAUGCUUCAAAUUUUUUUUUUUGUUUAUGCAUUUCGCUUGGCAUGAGAUGGCUUGCUUUGCUUGGCCUGUGAAGUUCAUAUAGCUUGCAUGCUAGCGUGGAGAUUUCUUGGCUUUAACACAGAGAACCUGCUUCAUACUUUGCCCUUUUACAGCAUAUUCCUCGUUGGUAAUUCUUGCAGGGACUCACAUAAUAAGUCCUAAUGACCUUUGUGAUGAGUGAUGGCCUAUUUCCCCUUGCAUGACGGGUUGAAGAAUGGACAACUACCUUCAUAGCGUAGAAACACUUACCAAGACUCGAUCAUAGGCACUGAGUAAGCUUAGGAAGCUACUCUCAUUUCCAGGUGUUGUAUAGAAGAAAGACAUGUUUCCGGCGGCCACCUUAUUUUUUAAUACCCUUGCAGCAUCACCAAGGGCUGGCCACAGUGGUUCGAUCGCGAGUUGACAGCCCCGACUACCAAAGAUGUUUUGUCAAGGAAACAUCGUUUUUGACCUUACAGCAGCGUGCUGAAAAGGCUUAAGCAUGUGUCUUAUUAGGAUUUUGCAUGGACUUCCGGCUGAAUACUUAAAAGAAGCACACAUUAUUAUUUUUUUUUUUUUAAGCACGAGCUGCUUGUAGCAUGAAGAUGUAUGCAUGAUCCCCUUAAGCAAGAGUUGUCGUUAAUGCGUUAAGCCUUCAGGAACAUGAAUUGGAGAGCCAGUGCCGUAAGCUAUGAGACCUUCUCCUUGACAAAUAAGCGAUUGAGAAUGGCGCUUGGUGCAUGGUGGAAACAUCGAAAGGAUCAUCUAAUAGUGCUUCUUCUAUUCUGUUUUAGUCAUGCACCGUGAUCUAAUUGAGGCUGCAUUUCUUUGUUGUAGGGGCUGGCUGGCUCAGUGUGUAGUAGCUUUUCCUUUUGAAACUGCAGGGUGUAUCUAUCUUUAGCAUAGUUGACUGCAUUUGGGCCCGAGUUGUACCCCCUUUUUUUUUUUGAGAGCCUAAAGCUCAUGUUGUCGGGAACUUGGAACACAACAUUGUUGCAUACUUUCUGUCAGGACUUUUGAUGUAGAAUGCUUGAGAUAUUGAGCUUCGGCCUGUUUUGUACGUUUUGCUUGGUUGGAAAUAAUGAAAUGCAUGAAUUGUUGCGGUUUGGAA